UAAAUGAAUUCUUGGCAGGAGUUUCAUGCUCAUCAUAGUAACGAAUGCCUCGUCAAUACUUAUAGUUUUCAUGAUGCUUAAAGAUCUUUGAUUGUAUCUUUAUUGUGCUGUUCACGUAAAGGACUUUUAAAGAAUUCUUUGAAUUGUUGUAUGCGCUUUCCCAUCCAAUUCAAUAACUUAAGGAGAACUUGAAGGUUAAUUUAAGCGGACCUAAUUAAUCUGGGGUGUUGAGUUUCAUGAUUUAUCGAAAGAACAACUGAAAAUUGGUUUAUGUGCAAGUAUGUGUGGAGAAGAACCCUCUAGCUAGCCCAUCAUCCAUAGUUUACCCAAAUUCGUCCAAAAUCUGUUUUAGUUUACAAUCUAUUUGUUUUGUUUUCAAAUUCGUCAAAAUCAAAUCCCCCUUUACUUUAAAGUGUUUUAUUAGUCAAAAUCUAUUUUGAUUUGUGUUUUUAAGUGUCUUGAGUCAAGUUAGAACCUAAUUUCGUCCAAAACCAUCCCUAGAGUCAGUUUACAGUCUAAUUCAUUGUUUUAAGCUGUUUUGAGUCUUUUAAACUAGUUUUGAGUCUUUUUAGUUUGUAUUGUAUCUUUUGAGUCUAAUUUGGUGUUUUAAACUUAAUUUUACGUUUUUAAGUCAGUUUCAAGUGUUUUAGCAAUCCCUCCUAAUCCCCGGCCUAAAACGAUCCCUACUUACAUUCUUUACCACAAUUGACAACAAGAGGGUUUAAUUUGUGUGUUAAGUUAAUUUUCGCAUCAACUUUCACCAUCCAUCCAAAACCCUCAGAAACACAUCAAACCACUUCUUGCCGCAGCCUUCCAUUCAUCCACUCACCACCAUACAUACUUUCAGCCAUUUUCCCAUACAAAUCACCACUCAAACCUUCACCCAUACCUUGUGCCGCAACAAAGAGAAGAAGGAGGACCAUUGGAGUGCUUGCUGUUCAAGUUUGUAUUGCUGGAUCAUUCUUAGGUGUUUUCAAUCUUUUGUUUUCAAUGUCUAAAUUUAUGUAUCAUUGUUUUGUGAACAUGAGGAGCUAAACCUCUUUUAGCUAGGGGGAAUUUUGAAACCAUGAUCAUAUUUGCAAUAUGAAUUGAUUACUUCCAGUUGUGAUUCUAUGAAUUGUGAAUGCACUUUACUUAAUAGCUUGAUUGAUAACUUAUUCUUGUUUGUAGAUUAAGGAUGCAUACUUAGUUUGCAUGCAUGAAUUUGAUGCUAGAAUACAAGGAAGUUUCACCUAAUCAUUAUGAACUUGUAUUUAUAAGUAGUGGAGGUUGCUAGUCACAAUCGUGUUAAGUGAAUUCCUAGCAGGAGUAUCAUGCUCAUCAUAGUUACGAAUGCUUUGUCAAUACUUAUGAUUUUCAUAACACUUAAUGAUCUUUGAUUGCAUCUCUAUUAUCCUGUUCAUGUAGAGAACUUUUGAAGAAUAACUUGGAUUGCCGAUGCGUUAUCCGUCCAAUUCAAUGAUAUAAGGAAAAUAUGAGGGUUAAUUUAAGCGUACCUAAUUAAUCUGAGGUGUUGAGGUUCAUGGUUUAUUGAAAAGCAACUGGAAAUUGUUUUGUAUGCAAUUGUGUCAUGUGUGGAGAAUAACCCUCUAGCUAGCUUAUUACCCAUCCAUUUAUCCCAAAUUCAUCCAAAAUUUGUCUUAAGUCUUUAGUUACUUGUUUUUACUUAAAAUUUGUCCAAAACCCAAUCCCCUUUACUUUAGUGUGUCAAAUUAGUUAGAAUCUGUCUUAGUUUGUGUUUUAAGCUAUUUUGAGUCAUUCUAGUUAGUUGUGAGUCUUUUCAGUUUGUUUUGAGUUCUUUAAGUCUAGUUAAGUGUUUUUAAGUUUAUUUUUAUGUUUUUAAGUUAGUUUAGAAUAGAUUAUGAUAGGAGCUUAUUUAUGCGACUUAGUUAGCUUGUUUCUUGGCAUUUAUGUUGUUAGUACGUAGUUAUUUUAGUAUUUUAAGCUAUUUUCGUGUGUUUGUGGGUCGAAAGAGUUAAAGUGGCAAAGAAGUGCAUUUUGGUGCCUUUUGGAGCAAAAUUGGGCUUCGAAUGGAUAGCAUAUGCUUGGAGCAAAGGAAUGGACGAAAUUGAAGACCUGAAGAUGCUAGGAUUCCUAGUUGAAGAAGGAUUCCUAGUUGAAUAAGGAUUCCUAGAAGAAUGAGGAUUCCUACUCAAAUGAGGAUUCCUACUUGAAGUAGGAAAGUUAAGCCAAGGUUUCCUAUUUUGGUUUGACCUUUCCUAAUCCUAAAUGUCCCUAAGUUCCAGCUACAAAGGAGUUUCCAAAACAUGUUAGGACACCUAAUAACUUGUUCUAGAAGUCCUAAACAUGCCCUAAAAGUCCAUGCCGCACCUCUCUAUGAUUUGAUCCUUCCUUGCCGCACAAAACAUUUUCUCCUUUCCUAUUUUAUGUUCUUAAAACCACAUUCCUAUUUUGAUCCUCCCUUUUUCCACACAUAUCCCUCUUUCUUACCUAUUUUUUGACCCAAAAUUACAUCCUUUUUUGUUUCAAUUAUUGCCGCACAAGGGGAGAGGAUUCUUACCUAUUUUGUGCCUCAAAACACAUUCCUAAAUCUGUCCUACACUCUCAGCCGAAUUUCCUUUCCUAUUCUCUUUAAUUCCUGCACCUUACUUGCCUAUUUUCCAUUGAUUUUUGACUUUUAAUUAUCGGACAAAAUAGCUAAGUUAUUUCUUUCCCUAAAACACAUAAAAACUGUGCCUUCUCCCCUAUAAAUACAUAGUGCCGCACCCUUUAGGGCUAUUCUCUCUUCUUUUCAGCCGUUCCACCCUUCACCAUAAUUCACCUACAUCCAUCCACCACCAUAAUUCACCACUCAUCCAUUCUCACAACCCUUGUGCCGCAGCAAAGAAGGAGAAUGAGGACCCUUGGACGUGCUUGCCAUUCAAGACGUUGGAUUGUUGGAGCGUUUUUAGGUGUAAUCCAUCCUUUGUUUUCAAUGUCUAAUUUAUUUUCUCUUUGUUUUUCUGUGAACAUGAGAGGCUAAACCCCUUUUGGCUAGGGGGAAUUUCGAAACCAUGACUAUAUUUGCAAUAUGAAUUGAUUACUUUCAGUUGUGAUUUCAUAAAUUGUGAAUGCAAUUUACUUAACUGUUUGAUUCAAAACUUAUUCUUGUAUGCUGAUUAAGGGUCGACACUUAGUUUGCAUGCAUGAAUUUGAUGCUAGAAUAUAAGGGAGUUUGAUGCGUAAAAUAACUAAACACACAAAUUAAACCCUAUUUGUGACAAUUGUAGUAAUGAUGUAAGUAGGGAUCGUUCUAACCGGGGAUUAACUAGGGGUGCUAAUCUAAUAUAAAUUGAUUCAAAAACACAAAAACUAAACUUAAAGACUCUAACAAGACUACUAUGACUCAAAACAGAUUUAAAGCACUCAAAACUGCCUAAAACAAUCAAAUUGACUCAAAAAGAAACUAGAACUUGAUUUGGACAGAAUCCAAAGUGUUUAUGACUCCAAAUGCUUAAGAACACAAAAUAACACAGAUUUGAAUGACUAAGACUCAACAAAAUAUGGGGGAAUUGUGUUUGGACGAAAUUAAAUUAAUUUGGCAGAUUGUAAAGAAAACAAAUUGUAAGACAAAAUUGUGAUGAAUCAAUGGAUGAUGGAAUAGCUAAGGGUUUCUUCUCCAC
rnacentral:lncRNA from 1 species